rnacentral:lncRNA from 1 species
UGGAUUCUCCCACGGUAAGAUAUAAACCAUUUGUUACAAGCACGUAAAGCUGAAAAUUAUGCGACUAAGAUAAAAGUCGAACAAUGUAAAGCAAGAGAGAGGCUGAAAGUCUUCAAGUGUAUUCAAGUUGAAGUGCCCACUAUGAAAUCUCAAUCCUGUCGGUCUUCAAGUUGAAGCCUUCAAUUCCGCUGAUCUUCAAGUUGAUAUAUUUAGGCCCUCCAAGUCUCAAAGUUGAAGUCUUCAAGUCCGUCAGUCUUCAAGUUGAAGUCUUCAAAUUCGGUGAUUUUGAAGUUGAAAUAUUUAGUCCCUCCAAGUCUCAAAGUUGAAGUUUUUAAGUUCUUCGGUCUUCAAGUUUCAGUCUUCAAAUUCGACGGUCUUAAAGUUGAAUUGUUUAAGCCCUCCGAAUCUUCGAGUCGAAGUUUGCAAAGUCCACCAAAUCUUCAAAGUUUUCCAAGUGUUCAAAUUGAUGUCAUCUUCGAGUUGAAGCUUUAUAAAUUUCCAAUCUUAAGGUAGACAUAUGAGUCCCUUUGCACCUUAAGUUAGUCUCUCCAGUAGUCGGGCCAUCUUGAGAGUAAUAUCUCCAAGAAUCAGGCCCCACUGAGAGUAAUCUCUCCUAGAAUCGGGCCAUUUUGAGAGUAAUCACUCCAAGAAUCGGGCCAUUUUGAGAGUAAUCUCUCCAACAAUCGAGCCAUUUUUAGAGUAAUCUCUCCAAGAAUCGGACCAUUUUGAGAGUAAUCGCUCCAAAAAUCGGACAAGGAUGGAUACCCAUCCCCACACCCUAAGAUUGUCUUCAUUAUGCAUGAAUUAUCUCGUUAAACUAGAACAUAUUUUUCUCGCUUGACCUUAAAAAAA